rnacentral:rRNA from 1 species
ACGGCUACCUUGUUACGACUUCACCCCAGUCAUGAAUCACACCGUGGUAAACGCCCUCCCGAAGGUUAAGCUAUCUACUUCUGGUGCAACCCACUCCCAUGGUGUGACGGGCGGUGUGUACAAGGCCCGGGAACGUAUUCACCGCAACAUUCUGAUUUGCGAUUACUAGCGAUUCCGACUUCACGGAGUCGAGUUGCAGACUCCGAUCCGGACUACGACGCGCUUUUUGGGAUUCGCUCACUAUCGCUAGCUUGCAGCCCUCUGUACGCGCCAUUGUAGCACGUGUGUAGCCCUGGCCGUAAGGGCCAUGAUGACUUGACGUCAUCCCCACCUUCCUCCGG